UACGGAGGGUGCAAGCAUUGAUCGGAAUUACUGGGCGUAAAGGGCGCGUAGGCGGUCAUGAAAGUCAGAUGUGAAAUUCCGGGGCUCAACCCCGGAGCUGCAUUUGAAACUUCAUGACUAGAGUUCAGUUAGGGUAAACGGAAUUCCACGUGUAGCGGUGAAAUGCGUAGAUAUCAGGAGGAACACCGGUGGCGAAGGCGGGUCUCUGGGCCGUAACUGACGCUGAGGAGCGAAAGCGUGGGGAGCGAACAGG
rnacentral:rRNA from 1 species